rnacentral:rRNA from 1 species
UACAGAGGUCCCAAGCGUUGUUCGGAUUCAUUGGGCGUAAAGGGUGCGUAGGUGGCGUGGUAAGUCGGGUGUGAAAUCCCGGGGCUCAACCCCGGGACUGCAUUCGAUACUGCCGUGCUUGAGGACUGGAGAGGAGACUGGAAUUUACGGUGUAGCGGUGAAAUGCGUAGAGAUCGUAAGGAAGACCAGUGGCGAAGGCGGGUCUCUGGACAGUUCCUGACACUGAGGCACGAAAGCCAGGGGAGCAAACGGG